rnacentral:tRNA from 1 species
GGGGUUGUGGCUCAAUGGUAGAGUACUUGCCUAGCAUGCAUGAGGUACUGGGUUCAAUCUUUAACACCA